AACGAUGUCGACUUGGAGGUUGUGCCCUUGAGGCGUGGCUUCCGGAGCUAACGCGUUAAGUCGACCGCCUGGGGAGUACGGCCGCAAGGUUAAAACCCAAAUGAAUUGACGGGGGCCCGCACAAGCGGUGGAGCAUGUGGUUUAAUUCGAUGCAACGCGAAGAACCUUACCUGGUCUUGACAUCCACAGAACUUUCCAGAGAUGGAUUGGUGCCUUCGGGAACUGUGAGACAGGUGCUGCAUGGCUGUCGUCAGCUCGUGUUGUGAAAUGUUGGGUUAAGUCCCGCAACGAGCGCAACCCUUAUCCUUUGUUGCCAGCGGUCCGGCCGGGAACUCAAAGGAGACUGCCAGUGAUAAACUGGAGGAAGGUGGGGAUGACGUCAAGUCAUCAUGGCCCUUACGACCAGGGCUACACACGUGCUACAAUGGCGCAUACAAAGAGAAGCGACCUCGCGAGAGCAAGCGGACCUCAUAAAGUGCGUCGUAGUCCGGAUUGGAGUCUGCAACUCGACUCCAUGAAGUCGGAAUCGCUAGUAAUCGUGGAUCAGAAUGCCACGGUGA
rnacentral:rRNA from 1 species